rnacentral:ncRNA from 1 species
GACUUGAGAGGUGUAGGAUAAGUGGGAGCCCUUACGGGCGCAAGUGAAAUACCACUACUUUUAACGUUAUUUUACUUAUUCCGUGGGUCGGAAGCGGGGCCUGUCCCCGUAUAACUUCGUUUAAUGUUUGCACUCCGAAGUUCUGCCGGGUUCCAUCCCCGCACGCGCUCCCGCGCCGGCUUGGCCGUCUUCCACCUCUCGGGCCGUGUGCACGCCCCCGCCGAGAUCAGGCGCGCCGCGA